GGCAACGUGCCCGAGUGGUUAAGGGGAGAGACUCGAACUACGGUCCGUUGACUUCCACUCACGUGACUACUAGAAUUGCAAUCUCUUGGGUUCGCCCGCGCGUGUUCAAAUCACGUCGUUGUCG